rnacentral:rRNA from 1 species
GAGCACGUAGGUGGGUUUGUAAGUCAGAUGUGAAGGCCUUCUGUUCAACGGGAGAAUUGCAUCUGAAACUGCUAAUCUUGAGUAUAGGAGGGGAGAAUGGAACUUUUGGUGGAGCGGUGAAAUGCGUAGAUAUCAGAAGGAACGUCGGCGGCGAAAGCGAUUCUCUGGCCUAUUACUGACACUCAGUGUGCGAAAGCUAGGGGAGCAAACGGGAUUAGAUACCCCGGUAGUCCUAGCCGUAAACGAUGGGCACUAAGUAGAGGGGAUUACCUAUGUUCUCUCUGCCGUAGCUAACGCAUUAAGUGCCCCGCCUGGGGAGUACGGCCGCAAGGCUAAAACUCAAAAGAAUUGACGGGGGCUCGCACAAGCGGUGGAGCAUGUGGCUUAAUUCGAUGCAACGCGAAAAACCUUACCGGGGCUUGACAUGAUAGAAGUAGGAACCUGAAAGGGGGACGAACGGUAUCCAGUCCGUAGCUAUUACAGGUGUUGCAUGGCUGUCGUCAGCUCGUGUCGUGAGACGUUGGGUUAAGUCCCCUAACGAGCGAAACCCUUGUUUUUAGUUACCAGCGGGUUAUGCCGGGUACUCUAGAAAGACUGCCGUCGUCAAGACGGAGGAAGGUGGGGAUGACGUCAAGUCAUCAUGGCCCUUAUGCCCCGGGCUGCACACGUGCUACAAUGGUCGGUACAGACGGAAGCGAAGCCGAGAGGUGAAGCGAAUCC